rnacentral:rRNA from 1 species
GAUGAACGCUGGCGGCGUGCCUAAUACAUGCAAGUCGAGCGAACAGACGAGGAGCUUGCUCCUCUGACGUUAGCGGCGGACGGGUGAGUAACACGUGGAUAACCUACCUAUAAGACUGGGAUAACUUCGGGAAACCGGAGCUAAUACCGGAUAAUAUAUUGAACCGCAUGGUUCAAUAGUGAAAGACGGUUUUGCUGUCACUUAUAGAUGGAUCCGCGCCGCAUUAGCUAGUUGGUAAGGUAACGGCUUACCAAGGCAACGAUGCGUAGCCGACCUGAGAGGGUGGUCGGCCACACUGGAACUGAGACACGGUCCAGACUCCUACGGGAGGCAGCAGUAGGGAAUCGUACGCAAUAGGCGAAAGCUUGACGGAGCAACGCCGCGUGAGUGAUGAAGGUCUUCGGAUCGUAAAACUCUGUUAUUAGGGAAGAACAAAUGUGUAAGUAACUAUGCACGUCUUGACGGUACCUAAUCAGAAAGCAACGGCUAACUACGUG